ensembl:lncRNA
UUUUUGUUUUUUUUGUCUUUUUGUCUUUUUCUAGGGCCUCUCCCCUUGGCACAUGGAGGUUCUCAGACUAAGGAUCUAAUCGGAGCUGUAGCCACUGGCCUACACCACAGCCACAGCAAUGCGGGAUCUGAGCUGCGUCUGUGACCUACACCACAGCUCAUGACAAGACCGGAUCCUUAACCCACUGAGCAAGGCCAGGGAUUGAACCUAGUUGGAUUCGUUAACCAGUGAGCCACGACAGGAGCUCCAGAUAUCUUCAGUUUUUAAUGACAUAGUGAAUCCAUAGUAUAGGACAUGGGUCGUAUUAGGACAGAUCCUCAAAACUCCUCAUUUUAAACAUGGAUAUGUAUAAGACACAGCAUGGGUAAUAAGAGAGUUGGUGUUGGAAAUAAGAUUUCUUGACUCUCAGAUGGCAAUUUUUGUCAAUAUAAAUGAGAAAAUUGUUUCACCUAUACAUUAUAUUUGCAUUUUACUGUAAACUACGAUACCCCAUAAUCAGAAUCAUAAUAUGUACUUUUAGAAUGUGUAUAUAUAUAUAUAUAUAUAUGUGUGUGUGUGUGUGUGUGUGUGUAUAUGUUUGUAUGUGUCAUAAAAAUAAACAUGAAUAACAAAAGAUUGUCUAAACAAUCUGGACAAAUUAUUGAAUCAUCAAAUUUAGUGUCUAUUUAUAGAUAUUUGAAAGAUUUAUUUGUUUAUAAUAUAAUUUGAUCAUGUUUAUUUGACAUUCUGUUCUGCCAUCUUGAAAAUAUAGGAGUUUCAAAUUCUUCAUAACUUUUUUUCAAAUUUAUCACAGUCACUGAAAUGUCUCUAUUUAAUAUAGAGAAAUACUUAUAUUAUCAAAUCUACAUUUUAAAAUAAUCAAAUCUGAUAUAAUUUUAGCCAACUUUAAUCUAAUUCUCUGUGUGGACAGUGGUUAAAGAGAAAAGUUUGAGCCAACACUGAUAGUGAGAGAGUUCAGACAGACCUUUUAAAAUUAUUUCAGACAUUUAUUAAAUGACUAAAAAAAAUUUCAAUUAUAUUCAUUUGUCUUGAAAAAAUUCUAUUUUUUGUAAUUUUUUAUCUUAAGAAAUGUUUAUUUGUAAACAGGAUGUGUGCACACACAAAUUGCUGGGGUAAAUCACAAACCUCAUAUUCUCAUUGGUUCAAUUCAGCAAUCAAUACAAUUGAAACUGUUUAGCGGUCAGGAUGCUACAGUUGUUACAGAUCCUGUAGAUGUUAAAUUGACUUUGCUAUUAUUUUAUUUGCAACUAUUGAACAACUUAUGGAGUUAAAGACUCCAAAUUUGCAUCAUUUUUUCUCUUAGACAUUUUUUAACUUCGAGAAAUAUUAAGGAAUAAAAAAAAUCUAUCCUCCUAGCCAAAUAAAUCACCUAUUUGUAAUUUCUCAUUUUCUUUCCCAGUUCUUGUCCAGUUGAAUAAUGAUUUGGUAUACGAUGAUUCCCUUUAUCACUGCUCUUGUGUGUGCAAAGAAAUUAAAGUUAAAAAUAAAUCUAGGGUCCCUUUUCUUUAUUUUAAAAUACAAACCUAGGUACCGGCAAGAGAAAAAAUAUGCAUUUUAAAACAUUGUUUUACCAAGAUUCAGCCAUCCAUAUAGCCCAUUUAUUUAAUCUGCCAAGCACAGUUUUUUUUGUUUCAUUUUUUUUCUUUGUUUUUUUGCCAUUUCUUGGGUCGCUCCUGUGGCAUAUGGAGGUUCCCAGGCUAGGGGUUGAAUCAGAGCUGCAGCCGCCAGCCUACGCCACAGCCACAGCAAUGUGGGAUCUGAGCAGCGUCUGCAACCUGCACCACAGCUCACAGCAACGCUGGAUCCUUAAGCCACUGAGCAAGGCCAGGGAUCAAAUCCACAACCUCAUGGUUCCUGGUCAGAUUCGUUAACCACUGAGCCACGACGGGAACUCCCCAAGUUCAGUUUUAAGGAGAAACACAUAUAUUGAGAUGACUUUCAAGCUAUACUAUACCAGUUUGAAAGACUGCAAACCUCUUCUUGUUUCAGCCUACUUCAGCAGUAACAAAGAUCUGAUUUGAUACCCACUACUUAUUCCUCACAUAUUACAUAAAACUACUAUGCAGAGAUGCUACUACAGUCCAGUCAAUCAGCAGCAAUGUUACAAAAAAUUUAAGGAUCUAAACAAAAAAGCAGAUCAUAAUUAUCAAUAUAUCUGAAUAAAACCAGCCCUACAUGGUCCAGUCUCAUCACAAUAUCAUCUGCAAAGAAAUGUCAUAAAGGUAGAGAAAAAGGAAUUGGAAUUCAUUUGAUUCUUAAAAGGAGUGCUCUAGGAAACCAUCUAAGGGUGAAACCUGCCUAGUGUUCAACCUAAAGGUCCUAAAGAUGUUUGUCCUUUAUCUCCCUAACAUCACUGUAAGUGAUUCUCACAUACUUUGCCAUAGCUCUCCAACAAACUCUGC